AUUGGGUGUUGGACAACUAUAGGCAAAACUGAAAUGGAACAGGGGCAGAAAAUAGCACACUUUUACGCCACGCAACCAUCUUUUGGAAUAUUACUGGGAUAACUGUCCAAAUGAAGUUCCAAGUACUCUAUACAAAUGGUUACUGAUCAUUAAAAUGGUUUUGUAAAGGAAUGACUCAGAAAUAACAGAGUUUGUUGCUGCUUCUGAGAUAAAGAAAACUCGAUGUCAACAUUUGAACAGAGAAAAAUACAGAAUAUGGAUAUCCUUGAAGAUUAACCAGAGAACUUUUCAUAUACUUCUAAAGGGAAAAACUUAAAAUGGAUAUGAGAAGUGAAGAAAGUGAUCAUAGGAGCAAGUCAUCUCAGGAAAGAAAUUGAAAUGGAACAAGACACAUGGAGAAAAGUAUUGAUUUCAACACUAUUCAUACCAUUGCCAAACUGGAACCCCUCCAGAGAUUCUCAGCAAUCGAGAAAUACACUAUGGUAAAUUCCCAGAAUGAACUUUAAUACGAUGACUUAAAUUAUUAAUUAGACAUGCAAUGGAGGAAAGAACAUGAGAUUUGGGUUUGGACAGACCUUUUUUGAAUCCUUUUGUCAUUUCCAAAACACUCAGAAUACGAAGGGACUCCUAGCAUCUCUGUGCCCUCUUAGAAGUUCUUCCUGACAUGAUGUUGACUGCCUCUGUUGUUGGGUAAUGAGAUCCACAUUCAAAAGUGUACUCUCAGAGAGGCCCAUUUAAUUUUGAGUGGUGGUGUGACAAUAUGCUUAAGAUUAAAAGAUGACCCUCAGGAUCAGAUAGGCCAGGAUCAAAUUUUAGCCGUUUAUUCCUGGCUUGAUAUUGGGUACAUGGCUUAACUGUCUUUGAAUCUCAGAUCCCCUGUCAGUAAAUUGUAAAUAAUGAUACCAUUUACCUCAUGGAGUCAUCAUGAUGAUAAAAUGGUGUGAUAUAUACCAGCACUGGACAAGAUAGGGUUUAGGUGUGAAUACAUGAUAAUUAUCAGGAUUAUUGUCAGUAGGUCAUUAGAG
rnacentral:lncRNA from 1 species